rnacentral:rRNA from 1 species
UUGCUUCUGAUUUGCUUAUUGCACCACAUGUGUUUUUCUUUGAAACAAACUUGCUUUGGCGGUGGGCCCAGCCUGCCGCCAGAGGUCUAAACUUACAACCAAUUUUUUAUCAACUUGUCACACCAGAUUAUUACUAAUAGUCAAAACUUUCAACAACGGAUCUCUUGGUUCUCGCAUCGAUGAAGAACGCAGCGAAAUGCGAUACGUAAUAUGAAUUGCAGAUAUUCGUGAAUCAUCGAAUCUUUGAACGCACAUUGCGCCCUCUGGUAUUCCGGAGGGCAUGCCUGUUUGAGCGUCGUUUCUCCCUCAAACCGCUGGGUUUGGUGUUGAGCAAUACGACUUGGGUUUGCUUGAAAGACGGUAGUGGUAAGGCGGGAUCGCUUUGACAAUGGCUUAGGUCUAACCAAAAACAUUGCUUGCGGCGGUAACGUCCACCACGUAUAUCUUCAAACUUUGACCUCAAAUCAGGUAGGACUACCCGCUGAACUUAAGCAUAUCAAAAGCCGGAGGAA